UCGCCAAUACUUUGGUUGCCAUAAAUGAUCCUGGCCUUCCAAGCCAGUUGUCCGGGUUCGAAUCCCGGUCGGCGCA
rnacentral:tRNA from 1 species